rnacentral:rRNA from 1 species
CAUCGAGUCUUUGAACGCAAGUUGCGCCUGAAGCCACUAGGUUGAGGGCACGUCUGCCUGGGCGUCACACAAUGUGUCGCCCCCUUGCAGCUCGCCUUGCACAGGAUGAGUGUUGCUAAUGGGGGCGGAUAAUGGCUUCCCGUGCGUAGGUGCGGCCGGCCUAAAUUGUAGUCCCUCAUCUCACGGGGUCACAACAAGUGGUGGUUGAAAAGCUUAAACAAGUUGUGCACACCAUGCGAUGGAGGUGAUGUUUUGGACCCUAAGGCGAUCCCUCUACUGUGAGGAGCGUUCGUCACGACUGCGACCCCAGGUCAGGCGGGGCUACCCGCUGAGUUUAAGCAUAUCAAUAARCGGAGGAAAAGAAACUAACAAGGAUUCCCUUARUAACGGCGAGCGAACCGGRAAARGCCCAAGCUUAGAAUCGAGCGGCUUCGUCACUCGAAUUGUAGU